rnacentral:rRNA from 1 species
UCAGGACGAACGCUGGCGGCGUGGAUUAGGCAUGCAAGUCGAACGGUUUUGAACAUCAUCUUAUCCGGCUUGCCGGAUAAGACGUUCAGAAUAGUGGCGAAAGGGUGAGUAAUGCAAGGGUAACAUGCCCUUAAGCUGGGGAUAACUCCGAGAAAUCGGAGCUAAUACCGAAUGUGGUCCUUUGAUGGAAUCAUUAGAGGACUAAAGAUGGGGACCCUUCGGGGCCUUUCGCUUAAGGAGUGGCUCUUGUCCUAUUAGCCUGUUGGUGGGGUAACGGCUCACCAAAGCAAUAAUGGGUAGCUGGUCUGAGAGGAUGAUCAGCCACACUGGGACUGAGACACUGCCCAGACUCCUACGGGAGGCUGCAGUCGAGAAUCUUUCGCAAUGGGGGAAACCCUGACGAAGCGACGCCGCGUGGAGGAUGAAGGCCCUCGGGUUGUAAACUCCUGUCACUUGGGAUGAAAAGUGGGGCCAUUAAUACCGGUUCUGCCUGACAGUACCUUGAAAGGAAGCUCCGGCUAACUACGUGCCAGCAGCCGCGGUAAUACGUAGGGAGCAAGCGUUGUUCGGAUUUACUGGGCGUAAAGGGUGUGUAGGUUGCUUGGUAAGUCAGUUGUGAAAUCCUUACUGCUCAACAGAAGAAUUGCAAUUGAUACUACCAGGCUAGAGUUCGGUAGAGGAGAGCGGAAUUCUCGGUGUAGCGGUGAAAUGCGUAGAUAUCGAGAAGAACACCAGUGGCGUAGGCGGCUCUCUAGCCCGAUACUGACACUGAAACACGAAAGCGUGGGUAGCGAACCGGGAUUAGAUACCCCGGUAGUCCACGCCGUAAACGAUGGGUACUAGGUGCAGGUGG